GAUGAACGCCAGCGACAGGCUUAACACAUGCAAGUCGAGGGGCAGCAAUUUGUAGCAAUACAAAGUUGGCGACCGGCGCACGGGUGAGUACCGCGUAUGCACCUCCUUCCACCAGAAGAAUAAUCCGGCGAAAGUCGGUCUAAUACUUCAUAAAACAGGGACAUCGCAUGGUGUUGUUUGUUAAAGAUUUAUCGGUUGUAGAUGGGCAUGCGUACCAUUAGGUAGUUGGUGAGGUAACGGCCCACCAAGCCUACGAUGGUUAGGGGUUCUGAGAGGAAAGUCCCCCACACUGGUACUGAGACACGGACCAGACUCCUACGGGAGGCAGCAGUGAGGAAUAUUGGUCAAUGGGCGAGAGCCUGAACCAGCCAAGUCGCGUGAAGGAUGACAGCCCUAUGGGUUGUAAACUUCUUUUGCAGGGGAAUAAAGAUAUUCACGUGUGGGUAGUUGUAUGUACCCUGCGAAUA
rnacentral:rRNA from 1 species